AACGAACGCUGGCGGCAUGCCUAACACAUGCAAGUCGAACGAGACCUUCGGGUCUAGUGGCGCACGGGUGCGUAACGCGUGGGAACCUGCCCUUAGGUUCGGAAUAACUCCCCGAAAGGGGUGCUAAUACCGGAUAAUGUCUUCGGACCAAAGAUUUAUCGCCUUUGGAUGGGCCCGCGUUGGAUUAGCUAGUUGGUAGGGUAAAAGCCUACCAAGGCGACGAUCCAUAGCUGGUCUGAGAGGAUGAUCAGCCACACUGGGACUGAGACACGGCCCAGAAUCCUACGGGAGGCAGCAGUGGGGAAUAUUGGAAAAUGGGCGAAAGCCUGAUCCAGCAAUGCCGGGUGAGUGAUGAAGGCCUUAGGGUUGUAAAGCUCUUUUACCCGGGAUGAUAAUGACAGUACCGGGAGAAUAAGCUCCGGCUAACUCCGUG
rnacentral:rRNA from 1 species